AUUGAACGCUGGCGGCAGGCCUAACACAUGCAAGUCGAGCGGAUGAAGGGAGCUUGCUCCUGGAUUCAGCGGCGGACGGGUGAGUAAUGCCUAGGAAUCUGCCUGGUAGUGGGGGAUAACGUCCGGAAACGGGCGCUAAUACCGCAUACGUCCUGAGGGAGAAAGUGGGGGAUCUUCGGACAUCACGCUAUCAGAUGAGCCUAGGUCGGAUUAGCUAGUUGGUGGGGUAAAGGCCUACCAAGGCGACGAUCCGUAACUGGUCUGAGAGGAUGAUCAGUCACACUGGAACUGAGACACGGUCCAGACUCCUACGGGAGGCAGCAGUGGGGAAUAUUGGACAAUGGGCGAAAGCCUGAUCCAGCCAUGCCGCGUGUGUGAAGAAGGUCUCCGGAUUGUAAAGCACUUUAAGUUGGGAGGAAGGGCAGUAAGUUAAUACCUUGCUGUUUUGACGUUACCAACAGAAUAAGCACCGGCUAACUUCGUG
rnacentral:rRNA from 1 species